GCUUCAGGAGCAAAUGUGGAAAGGGUUUCUGCUUCAGGAGCAAAUGUGGAAAGGGUUUCUGCUUCAGGAGCAAAUGAUUGUCUGCACCCAGAAGAGUCAUCUACUUGAUAUCAAAACACAGGAUUUGAGGAAAACUCCUCCCAACUGUACUGCUAUUCAAUUGAACAUCAUCCUCCCAUGGUGCAAAGAUUCGACCAAAUAAAAACCAUUAUUUUUUUCAUAUGAGAAUGGUUUCCUCA